rnacentral:rRNA from 1 species
UACGUAGGGUGCAGGCGUUAAUCGGAAUUACUGGGCGUAAAGCGUGCGCAGGCGGUUUGCUAAGACAGGUGUGAAAUCCCCGGGCUUAACCUGGGAACUGCGCUUGUAACUGGCAAGCUAGAGUGUGGCAGAGGGGGGUGGAAUUCCACGUGUAGCAGUGAAAUGCGUAGAGAUGUGGAGGAACACCGAUGGCGAAGGCAGCCCCCUGGGCUAACACUGACGCUCAUGCACGAAAGCGUGGGGAGCAAACGGG